CGUUACCGUAUGUGCUGUGGUCGGUCAUCGUUGUGGUGGCGUUGCGUCCGUGAGGUUAGCCCUCUACGUAUCGUGCCGUGUGUGUGCAGGGUCGUACCUUGUGAGCCCGUGGGGCGUUGGUCUGGUCGUUAGCGGAUCUAAUAUUGGUGCGGUGGUGAGGGUGUGCUGUCACCGUCCAGUCAUAAGAUGUCGGCGUGGUGCCGUCUGCUGUAAGUGGCGUCCGUCAGCACGUGAGGUGGGGUGGGGUGUGUCGGUUAGCUGAAAAAUAAUGAGUAACAGUUUUACAUUGUAACACAACAGUUUAACAUCAACUUCAAUUUAGUUAUAUACAUUUCCUCUGCCUUAGUGUCCAGAGGUUCCCGUGUUGCGUGUCUUCC